rnacentral:rRNA from 1 species
GAGUUUGAUCCUGGCUCAGAACGAACGCUGGCGGCGUGCUUAACACAUGCAAGUCGAACGUGAUCCAGAGCUUGCUCUGGUGAAAGUGGCGCACGGGUGAGUAACGCGUGGAUAACCUGCCCUGGUAUYUGGGAUAACAUCUCGAAAGGGGUGCUAAUACCGGAUAAGCCUACGGGGUCUUCGGACUCUGCAGGAAAAGGUGGCCUCUAUUUAUAAGCUACCGUAUCAGGAUGGGUCCGCGUACCAUUAGCUAGUUGGUGGGGUAAUGGCCCACCAAGGCGACGAUGGUUAGCUGGUCUGAGAGGAUGAUCAGCCACACUGGAACUGAGACACGGUCCAGACUCCUACGGGAGGCAGCAGUGGGGAAUUUUGCGCAAUGGGGGAAACCCUGACGCAGCAACGCCGCGUGAGUGAUGAAGGCUUUCGGGUCGUAAAGCUCUGUCAGAGGGGAAGAAAUGAGCCUGGCUAAUAUCCAGGUUUCUUGACGGUACCCUCAAAGGAAGCACCGGCUAACUCCGUGCCAGCAGCCGCGGUAAUAC